rnacentral:rRNA from 1 species
UACGUAGGUGGCAAGCGUUGUCCGGAAUUAUUGGGCGUAAAGGGCGCGUAGGCGGAUAUUUAAGUCUGUCGUAAAAAUGCGGGGCUCAACCCCGUAGUGUCGAUGGAAACUGGAUAUCUUGAGAGCAGGAGAGGAAAGUAGAAUUCCCAGUGUAGCGGUGAAAUGCGUAGAUAUUGGGAGGAAUACCAGUGGCGAAGGCGGCUUUCUGGACUGUUUCUGACGCUGAGGCGCGAAAGCUAGGGGAGCGAAC